rnacentral:rRNA from 1 species
UACGAAGGGGGCUAGCGUUGCUCGGAAUCACUGGGCGUAAAGGGCGCGUAGGCGGCCAUUCAAGUCAGAGGUGAAAGCCCAAGGCUCAACCUUGGAACUGCCUUUGAUACUGUUUGGCUUGAGACCGGUAGAGGUAAGUGGAACUGCGAGUGUAGAGGUGAAAUUCGUAGAUAUUCGCAAGAACACCAGUGGCGAAGGCGGCUCACUGGCCCGAUACUGACGCUGAGGUGCGAAAGCGUGGGGAGUAAACAGG